CAUUGAGCCUUGAUGUGUAGGAUAGGUGGGAGGCUUUGAAGUGUGGACGCCAGUCUGCAUGGAGCCGACCUUGAAAUACCACCCUUUAAUGUUUGAUGUUCUAACGUGGACCCGUUACCCGGGUUGCGGACAGUGUCUGGUGGGUAGUUUGACUGGGGCGGUCUCCUCCUAAAGAGUAACGGAGGAGCACGAAGGUUGGCUAAUCCUGGUCGGACAUCAGGAGGUUAGUGCAAUGGCAUAAGCCAGCUUGACUGCGAGCGUGACGGCGCGAGCAGGUGCGAAAGCAGGUCAUAGUGAUCCGGUGGUUCUGAAUGGAAGGGCCAUCGCUCAACGGAUAAAAGGUACUCCGGGGAUAACAGGCUGAUACCGCCCAAGAGUUCAUAUCGACGGCGGUGUUUGGCACCUCGAUGUCGGCUCAUCACAUCCUGGGGCUGAAGUAGGUCCCAAGGGUAUGGCUGUUCGCCAUUUAAAGUGGUACGCGAGCUGGGUUUAGAACGUCGUGAGACAGUUCGGUCCCUAUCUGCCGUGGGCGCUGGAGAACUGAGGGGGGCUGCUCCUAGUACGAGAGGACCGGAGUGGACGCAUCACUGGUGUUCGGGUUGUCAUGCCAAUGGCACUGCCCGGUAGCUAAAUGCGGAAGAGAUAAGUGCUGAAAGCAUCUAAGCAC
rnacentral:rRNA from 1 species